AGGGCGCAGGCGCGGCACGGUCCACGCGCCCGGCCGCGCGAGGGACAGGAUUGAGCGAGGUGGCGCGUGCGCGCGGCGGGCGGGAUAGGAUGGCGAUAAGGGAGCGCGCGCCGAGAAACCGACGGACGCGAGCCCACACGAGGAGGGGCGGGGAGGAGGAGGAGCUGAAGCUCUGAGUCCCACCCCCUCCGGCGCCCCGCCGCCUGCAGGUGCUGCGCCCUCGCGCUGUCCGGCUCCGGGCGGUGCCGUUGUGCCGGGCUUCGUCUUGGUUGUUCUCUCAGGACGCCUUUGCACUGAGUCAGGAGGUCAGAGAGUAAAGAAACAGUGGUACUUGUUAGCUGCGCAGCGUUCUUUACUAAGGAAUUUUGAAACAGAUUAUCUCUUGUGGACAACAAAAUGCUACGUGAUCUCUCAAAACCAUUACCUGUGGGAGGGGGGGUAAAGAUUUGAUAUAGAGAGCUGAGAGUCCAAGAGAUAUCCACAUGAUGGUGAUUGGCUUCUGGGGAAAAAAAGAAAAAAAAACCAAAAGAACACUUGCAAAACACACAAAUUCCAAGGUGUUAUGGAGGGAAAAAAUGGAAGACACGUCAGAGAACCUCCAGCUCCGGCAGAGUUACAGAUGAACAUUAAUCCAUACACUUAUGCACACCUUCUUCCAAAGGAAAUUUCAAAGGAAACUGAUACAUCUUACAGAGGUGGCAUUCACGUUUGCAUAUGGUGAGUACUGCAUCUAUAGUAGCAAAUCAGAGUGACUGUUUAUGUGUAGAAAUUACUGUAAUGACUGCUUUGCUCUCAUGGAGCACAAGGUGUCACAGAUGGCUGCCAAGCCAUUCUCUCUCUGGUAGCAGGUGUAGAUCGAAGCAGAUAAAAGCUUGGCAUUCUUGUCUGUGAAGUUCCAGGAAAUACUACUCACUACAUGGUAACAUAGUUGCAAGUUGCUAAUGAUGGAAUCACUGCAUUAAUUUGGUAUGAUACUGCUCUACGGUGCUCAAGUUGGAGCAAGAAAAGUUGGUAUGCAUUUACAAAUUAGACUUUAAUAUCCCAUGCAGCUGUUUGCAUUUGCCUAAUUUAACAGCAGUGACUUCACAUUAGCAUCACCAUGGUAUCAUAAAAACACUCCAAGAGAAAAUGAUACAGCCUCUUAAAGUCUGAUAAUGCAAGUUAGGCGCAUUCUAUUUCAGGUGGCUUUUUUUUGUUUGUUUGUUUUGAGGGUUUUUAUUUAUUUAUUUAUGGCUUAAAAAUGUAUUUUUAUGUAUAAGGCGGAUCUUUAGGUCUGAUAUGUUUCUUUUUGGUACAAGUACCAGGAUUUUAUAAAAAUACUGUGCUCCUGUAGACAGACAGUUUAAGCACUAAAUUAAGAGCUUUAAUGGAAAUCACCAACUUAAACAUAGUCGCUACCUUGUGGGCAAUUUUGCUUUUGGAGCCUUUGCAAGAAUAUCAGAGUUCUUUUGUACAACAGUAAAAAGGUAAGUAAAUACCCACCUACACAAACACAGCGCUGUUUUAACACAGAUAACGGUCUAAUGCGUUGUCUAUGGUAUAAACUGUUUUGUACACUUACCUGCAUAACACUGGCAUAGAGCCGCUUGCUUCCCCUUUUAAGGGUUUCCUGAAGUAUCACAGAAAUGUGUAAACUGAUGUUUUGAGAAUUAUGUAAUAUGUGGACGGGCCCUGGGAUAACACCAUGCAUCAAAAGAACAGAAAAAGUGUACUUCGGACAGAACUACCAAUGCCUGUUAACCAUCAGCAUAAGAACACAACCUCAGUUGGUGCCACUUUUAAUGAUUAGAAA